rnacentral:lncRNA from 1 species
AUGGAGUGCUGUUGCAGUGCUGGAUUCCGAAAUCCAGAUGAAUUUCUGAGCAGAGCGGGGAAGAGCGGAAAGCUCCGACCCAGAGGACAGGAGUUGGAGCAGGAGGUAGCUGGCUGUUGGACCAUUCCACUCGGGGUUAAAAUCCCUGUGCAGCCCGGCACAAGCUCCUUUUCGCCAGGAGAAAGCUGGGGAAAAGGUGAGAGAGUAAGAAGCGUCAAAAAGGGCUCUUGUUCCUGGGUUGCCGCCAUGCCAAGGAGGCCUUGUGUUGGGAUGCCAAUCCCAUGUGUUGGGAUGCUGGGGCAGGCACCCAUCAGGACAGAAAUGUGGAGACCGCGGUCGUUCCUGGAGGAGGGGUGAACCCUCUGCUCUCCUCUUGGAGGACUUAGGAAAACCCAGACAUGACUGUUUGGAAAGAGGAAAGAGGCCAGCCUGUGGGUGUGAGCAGCUUGGAAGUGUCUCUGUCUCUUUGCUGCUCUCUCCUUCCCCAUUCACACUCUACAACACAUCUCUUCCAGCUCCACCAGCCUUCUCCUCAGUUUGACCUGAGAGAUCCGUACAGUCGCAAUCUGUGCACAGAGUACAACAGCCUGCAUGACCCGCAUCUGCGGGAGUUCCACAACGACAAAAACAACCUGCGGAACUGGAAGAAACGGGCUUGGUCACCGAGGAUGGCGACGUAAGUUUGGCUGUUGGCUGACCAACACGGGUCUCCUCAGGAGGGCUUUCCAGUCUGCCAGGCAGGGGCCUGACACUACAGCCAUCUGUCAUUGCUCUUCUGUAGGUUGUCUGCACUCUGAAGGAGUUCAACGAGUACAGGCAGUACCUGACCAGGCUGAAGCUGGAGAAAAAGCAAGCAAAGAGGAGAAGAGGUAGGCAAAGCCCAGUAUUGGUAGGCACGUGUCAGCAGCAUGGCACUGAGGGCACGGGCUUUACUUGAUGGAUCUGAGGAGAUGGGAAAGCAGAAAAGUGAGGCGGGGCUGGUGGUCUAGGCAUUGAGGCAUGGAAAGGACAGCUCAGCUCAGAGCUGAGCUAGCACAGCGUGCUGGUGUGAAGGCAGCCUGGAAAGUUGCUUGCUUAACAAACAGAGCACUGUGGCAGCCGUUCUCUUCUGCCCUCAUUGCAAGGCUGAAGCAUGUGCUUGCCCUCUUCUGCGUUAAAGCAGCAGUACUUAGGGUGGGAAGCACUCUCUAAGACAAGACAAGCAUAAACCCUCUGUUCCUUCCAGGAUGAGCUUCUUCGGGAGAUUUCCAAUUUGAAGAAAUCGAUCCACAGACUACAGAUGGCCAGACAAGUUCCAGCCCGGUCCCGUGGAUUACAUUGCGGGUUCGAAAAUCAGACCCACCAAUUCUUCAUAAACCAGCUGGCCCCUCUCCUUCAUGCUAUAAUCUUCUGUCUGGCAAUGCAGAAGGAAUUGGCUUUGAGUGAGCGUGGCCUUCAGGGAGACUCAUGGAGCACAGGGCGGCAAUGAAGCUCCCUGAGAAGUCACCCAAACCUGCGUUGGGCAGGGAAGGCUCCAAACUCCCCAGAAGCAUCCGUACUGCUUCUGCCUCAACAACAAACUCCGGAGUCCCCAGAAGCAUCCAUACUGCUUCUGCCCCAACAACAACUCCGGAGUCCCCAGAAGCAUCCAGACUGCUUCUGCCUCAGCAACAAAACUCCAAACUCCCAGAAGCAUCGUACUGCUUCUGACCAAAAACAAACUCCAGAGUCCCUAGAAAGCAUCCAGGCCCCGUGAAGGGAAAAGGAAAAAAAGGGGAAAACAAGUAGGAGAUUGGCCAAAAAACAAAACAGUGGCAACAAAUUAGUUUUAAUUGGCUUAAUUAAUUUAAUUUGUUUAAUUCUUUUUAAUUUGUUUAAUUAAUUGACCAAAGAUGAUACCAGAAUGCAAGAUAACACACUACAGUACAAUAUAUCAUAAUUAGUAUCAGAAUUAGAAUUAAAACCAAUUAAAACCAAUAAAAAAAAUAAAAUUAGAAAGUGUGUCUGCA